GGAGAUGUAGUUCAAGUGACUAGAGUGCUUGCCUGGGAAGCACAAGGCUCUGAGUUCAAAACUCAGUACCACCU
rnacentral:tRNA from 1 species